AAUAAAAAUUGUUAUUGCAGAUGCAAUUGGGAGUAGUGGCCUUGACUUAAAGACUGAUCCAGGAGUACCUGUUGUAUAUGCUGGUUUUGGUGCUCUCAUGCUUACAACUUGCAUCAGUUAUUUAUCUCAUACACAGCUAUGGGCCUUGCAAGAUGGAACAUCAGUGGUUGUUGGGGGUAAGACUAACCGGGCCAAGGGUGAGUUUCCUGACACAAUGAAUCGCUUGCUCGAUCAAGUUCCCGAAUUAGUUGAAUCAUCUUCUCCCGAAGAACCUAAUAUUCUCAGUGGCUUAUAAGUUGAAGUUGGUACAAAAGGUACUUGGUGUGUAAUUAGCAGAUAUGGUACAAUGAGGCAUUCGUUCAAUGAGAUAUCAGAAAUGCAGAUAUCAAACCAUUGAUACAGAUUAUGACCCAUGUAAAGUAGCCCUUUGCUUUUGUUUGGGGGUAUUUCUACACAUGUAUAGAUAAGUUUGUAUUGGAAAUAUGUUUGUUGGGGUUAGCUCCUUUUCUUUUUAAUUCAAAAUCUUCUGUUUGGAUAUA
rnacentral:misc_RNA from 1 species